UACGAGGGGGGGCAAGCGUUGUUCGGAAUUAUUGGGCGUAAAGGGUGCGUAGGCGGUCUGACAAGUCUGAUGUGAAAUCUAUUGGCUCAACCCAUAGUCUGCAUCGGAAACUGUCGGGCUUGAGUAUGGGAGAGGUGAGUGGAAUUUCCGGUGUAGCGGUGAAAUGCGUAGAUAUCGGAAAGAACACCUGUGGCGAAAGCGGCUCACUGGACCAUUACUGACGCUGAGGCACGAAAGCUAGGGGAGCAAACAGG
rnacentral:rRNA from 1 species